AGGCAGGACUCUGACCGUUUGUCGCCGGCAAUUAAGUCACUUUUGCAGCCAGCUCGGUCGCGGAGACACAUGCUGGUCGGGUUUCCACGCUGGGGUUUUAUUGUGCCUAAUUGAGUGAGGUCGAGCUCCAUUUCACCGUGCGCGCCGCACAAACUUUUGAUUAGGCGAUCCUGCAAGACGACUCCGGCUCAGCAGACGUACGUACGUGGAAUGAUUGGCCGCCAAAUUUUUUACCGCUGUGGAGUGGAGUUCAAGUUGGAGGAGACCUGAAUAACCUUUGAAUUAUUUUCAAGUGAUUCCACAGGUUGUAAGGAUAUCCAAACUUCAUGUUAUCCGCUCGGAGGUUUUAUUGGGACCUGGUGAGCUCAUAGCCGUCGGCAGAGGUUCUAAAUAAAAAAAGAAAACUUCCAACAAAGCAUGUUUCUGUUUAUAUUUGAAAAUAUUCUACUCUGG